UUGUUAAAAUUAUUAAAACCUCGAGCUCACACUGAUCAUUCUUUUUUUUACUUUCAGAAAAUGAGGUGGAUGGGGAAACAGUAGAGUGUGGUCUCACGGAGAACAUGAUCUCACAUUUAUUUCAAGGCUCCUUUAAAAAACAGGCCAAGUUUAACAAAUUUGUACACAAGAUGAAGGAGGUGGGAACAACAACACUAUAAUCAGUGCCAGCAGAAUCCUAUCAACAAACUUUGACUACAGAAAUGCGAUUGCUGUCAUUGGUGAGGAUGCAUCCUCUGUUGAGGGUCAUGUGAAUGUCCUGCAUAUCCAGUACAGCAAAGUGCGACCAGACACCUUGGUGGUCAAAGACCGAAUGCAGCGAACGUUUGCGUGGCAAAGAAGGGAGAUAAGAGAUGGAAUGACUGUGGAGGAUAUACUUAAGAAAUACCCUUUCUUAAAAACACUCUCAGAGUUGUGUGAUUAAGUUGACCGAAUGCAUUCAUCAACUGUCAGUUUAAGCCAGCGCUUCAAGGAUGGC